UUAAUAAUUUGGAUCGAUUCUUUGACAUUGCUCGACGAAAUACAUUAAAUUUGAUUAAAAACGAUAAGGAUAAACAGUUCCUUAUUAUGCAAAGGGAAGUUGGAAGGAGUUUGCGAGAGUUAAAAAAGGCAAAAUCGAAGAAGAACCAACAACGGAACCAGAGCCUUCCUUGGAAUCUCAAUCAGCUACCAGCGUUUUUACUAUUGAUGAAGGAGAUGAGAAACCCUCCACUAGUAGAGCGUUUUCCGAGCGAAGUAAAUCAAAAAUAAUGACUCCUAUACUAGCUGCUACCCUAGACCGUAUUGGACUAAGCGACCGAAAUGCAAUGUAUGUUAUUUCUGCGUUUUUAACAAGUGCUGGACUAAACUUAGACGAUUUUACCGUUAGCAGACAAACAAUCUCAAAGGCCCGUGCAGAAUACCGCGAAGAGAUUGCUCAAAAUAUCCAAAGCAAUUUUGAUCUAAAUGGACCACUUGUUGUACAUUGGGAUGAAAAGCUGCUUCAAGAUCUCACAGGUACUGACAAAGUAGAAAGAUUGCCAGUUUUGGUAUCUUCUGGAGCAAAUGUUCAGCUGCUUGGUGUCCCAAAAUUGUCUUCUGGAACUGGUGAAAGACAGACAAACGAAGUUUGCAAAUUGAUGAAUGCAUGGGAACUAAGCGAUCGCAUCUGUGCAAUGGGAUUUGAUACAACAGCAGCAAAUACAGGAAUCAAAAAAGGCGCUUGUACCCUAAUCGAGAAGCGGAUUGGCAGAGGUCUUUUAUGGCUGGUGUGUACACUCAGAAAUAAAAUAAAUCUGUAUAGGUUUUAAUCAUUUUUGACAGAUAUACUUUACAUAGUAUAAAAAGUAUACUAUCUGAAAUUAUAUUUUAUACUUGAAUGGAAUAACGGGAAAAUAUUUGUGUUAGCAUUCUUACUUCAGCAAAACUUUUCUUUUUUCAAUUUACUUGAUUGUUCUCGUCAGGUUGCCACGUUUUUCAUUUUUAAAUACCUGCCCAAAAAGAUCCAAAAAAUCGAACAAAUUAAAACUAAUAUCCGCAUCAAUAAAAACGUAAGUAACGGUUAAUUAAAAUCUUGUAAAACAAGAUGUUAUUCAUUCCAAUUUAUUCCAAAUAUUUAUUCUUUUUGUAGCUCCAUCCCGAUUCAUUCAGCGAGAAGCAGAUUAGAAGAAAAAAUCACGGCAAAUCAUGCCCUUACGAAGGGAUAACAUCUACUACUUCAAUUAUGACACAGCAAACACAGGAACGGGGAGGAGCAGGCACCCCCAAGGUAAACAAGUCGGUCCAGAUCAUGACCUUUCUAGAAACACAGUCCUUUCUGUCCAUGGACACGGCCCAUGUGCAACUACCGUUGUUCUUCCGAGAACGAAUCGUACCACUGAAUCCGCUACAUUGGAGAACCAUUCGACUUUGCAGCAUUCAUCACCGGCUGCCUGCGUGCGGAACAAUCUCUUAUCACCGUUGACACGCAGACGUCUCUAAGAAUUAAGAUUCCCUUAAUCCUCGGUGGAGGAUCGCCAAACAUGACCAAAGACCGCAUCAAGAAAAGCCACACGCAUCCACUUUCAGUUGAUAACGAAACAUCACAAGCAUCAGCAAUCCGGGAAACGACGGAAUUCCAAAAGUGUAGCACAAAGUCAGGCCUGGGACGAGUUCGAUACAUUCGUUGCGAUUCAUAAUAACAUCUACCAGUUUUUCAUAAUCUGCACGUCUAAAUCGAUGUAUUAAACAUUUGCGGUUGUAUAUAAGCAUUUAAUAAAAAUAAUAAAAUACUUUUA